CAGGUUGAUAGGUUCGAGGUGGAAGUGUGGCGACACAUGGAGCUGACGAAUACUAAUCGAUCGAGGACUUAACCAAAUA
rnacentral:rRNA from 1 species